UAAUUGAAGAGUUUGAUCAUGGCUCAGAUUGAACGCUGGCGGCAGGCCUAACACAUGCAAGUCGAGCGGUAACAG
rnacentral:rRNA from 4 species